ensembl:lncRNA
GGAAGCUUGGUGUCAGCGUCGAGUUCACAAUAAUGCCUUCAACAAGCUGGCGUGUUAACAGGUGCGGCCUCUAACCAAAGCCGUUCAUCACAAGAAAGUGACUCUCGGGCUACUGCUGGAAUUGAAUCACAGAAUCCGAGCUGAUCACAGUUCAAGAUGUUUUUUUUGCGGGGGCAGAGGUUUCUGCUGUGGUUCAAUAGGGAUCCAAUAGGGGUCCAGGAUCUGGACUUGAUAAAAAAAUUCAAAAUCGAAGAGGAUGCGGGGGGAGAAAGAAAGAGACUGCCGACACGUGACAGUGUGGGGACAUCGACAAAAGCUCUGUGGUCCUGCAGCCUGCAAGCUAGCGAGGUGCAACGCUGAUGAUGAGC